rnacentral:rRNA from 1 species
AGUAACACGUGGGGAACCUGCCCCAUAGUCUGGGAUACCACUUGGAAACAGGUGCUAAUACCGGAUAAGAAAGCGGAUCGCAUGAUCAGCUUUUAAAAGGCGGCGUAAGCUGUUGCUAUGGGAUGGCCCCGCGGUGCAUUAGCUAGUUGGUAAGGUAAAGGCUUACCAAGGCGAUGAUGCAUAACCGAGUUGAGAGACUGAUCGGCCACAUUGGGACUGAGACACGGCCCAAACUCCUACGGGAGGCAGCAGGU